ACAAACUUGGUCAUUUAGAGGAAGUAAAAGUCGUAACAAGGUUUCCGUAGGUGAACCUGCGGAAGGAUCAUUACCGUAAUGAUGGGAGGGUGUGCUGGCGAGAGUAUACAUAUGCUCUCAACGGUGCACCCUCUCUCUAUCAUCACACAAAACCCCUUCUCUGUGUGUGAGUGUGUGUGACCACGUGUCACACCGACACACAAACUUCAAGUACACAACGCGCGUGUUUUUUUGUGACGCGUCGUGUCGCCUCUGUGCGACACACACACACGGGUACACAAAAACACACACACAUAUAUACCAACAAAAAACACAAAACAAUACUGACCCACCGUUGGUCUGAGAACGUGCAAACAUGCCGCGAGGUGUGCUUUGUGCAAAAACAAAACUAACAUAUAUUACAACUUUUAACAACGGAUAUCUUGGCUCGCGCAUCGAUGAAGAACGCAGC
rnacentral:misc_RNA from 1 species